AUUGAACGCUGGCGGCGUGCCUAACACAUGCAAGUCGAGCGAGCGGCGGACGGGUGAGUAAUGUCUGGGUACUGCCCGAUAGAGGUGGAUAACUACUGGAAACGGUAGCUAAUACCGCAUACUAUCGGAUUACCAAUAUGGGAUUAGCUAGUAGGUGAGGUAAUGGCUUACCUAGGCGACGAUCCCUAGCUGGUCUGAGAGGCUGAUCAGCCACACUGGGACUGAGACACGGCCCAGACUCCUACGGAGGCAGCAGUGGGGAAUAUUGCGCAAUGGGCGCAAGCCUGAUGCAGCCAUCCCGCGUGUAUGAUGAAGGCCUUCGGGUUGUAAAGUACUGUUGUCAGAGAAGCGGUAUCUGCAGAAUAAGCACCGGCUAACUACGUGCCAGCAGCCGCGGUAAUUC
rnacentral:rRNA from 1 species